UGAAACCAGCUGGUUUCA
rnacentral:snRNA from 1 species